rnacentral:ncRNA from 1 species
UACCUGGUUGAUUCUGCCAGUAGUCAUAUGCUUGUCUCAAAGAUUAAGCCAUGCAUGUCUAAGUUUAAGCAAUUAAACCGCGAAACUGCGAAUGGCUCAUUAAAUCAGUUAUAGUUUAUUUGAUAGUACCUUACUACAUGGAUAACCGUGGUAAUUCUAGAGCUAAUACAUGCUAAAAACCCCGCUUCGGAAGGGGUGUAUUUAUUAGAUUAAAAACCAAUGCCCUUCGGGGCUAACUGGUGAUUCAUAAUAACUUCUCGAAUCGCAUGGCCUUGCGCUGGCGAUGGUUCAUUCAAAUUUCUGCCCUAUCAACUUUCGACGGCUGGGUCUUGGCCAGCCAUGGUGACAACGGGUAACGGAGGGUUAGGGCUCGACCCCGGAGAAGGAGCCUGAGAAACGGCUACUACAUCCAAGGAAGGCAGCA